AUGGCCUUGGAACCUGCUGAGACAGACACACACAGUGCAGCCCUACAGACACACAGUGCAGCCCUACAGACACACACAGUGCAGCCCUACAGACACACACAGUGCAGCCCUACAGACACACACACAGUGCAGCCCUACAGACACACACAGUGCAGCCCUACAGACACACACAGUGCAGCCCUACAGACACACACAGUGCAGCCCUACAGACACACACAGUGCAGCCCUACAGACACACACAGUGCAGCCCUACAGACACACACAGUGCAGCCCUACAGACACACACAGUGCAGCCCUACAGACACACACAGUGAGCCCUACAGACACACACAGUGCAGCCCUACAGACACACACAGUGCAGCCCUACAGACACACACACACACACACAGUGCAGCCCUACACACACACACAGUGCAGCCCUACAGACACACACAGUGCAGCCCUACAGACACACACAGUGCAGCCCUACAGACACACACAGUGCAGCCCUACAGACACACACACAGUGCAGCCCUACAGACACGCACACAGUGCAGCCCUACAGACACGCACACAGUGCAGCCCUACAGACACGCACACAGUGCAGCCCUACAGACACACACAGUGCAGCCCUACAGACACACACACACACAGUGCAGCCCUACACACACACAGUGCAGCCCUACACACACACACAGUGCAGCCCUACAGACACGCACACAGUGCAGCCCUACAGACACACACAGUGCAGCCCUACAGACACACACAGUGCAGCCCUACAGACACACACAGUGCAGCCCUACAGACACACACAGUGCAGCCCUACAGACACACACAGUGCAGCCCUACAGACACACACACACACACAGUGCAGCCCUACAGACACGCACACAGUGCAGCCCUACAGACACGCACACAGUGCAGCCCUACAGACACACACAGUGCAGCCCUACAGACACACACACACACAGUGCAGCCCUACACACACACAGUGCAGCCCUACAGACACGCACACAGUGCAGCCCUACAGACACGCACACAGUGCAGCCCUACAGACACGCACACAGUGCAGCCCUACAGACACGCACACAGUGCAGCCCUACAGACACACACAGUGCAGCCCUACAGACACACACAGUGAGCCCUACAGACACACACAGUGAGCCCUACAGACACACAGUGAGCCCUACAGACACACAGUGCAGCCCUACAGACACACACACACAGUGA
rnacentral:lncRNA from 1 species